CGAAUGUCGGCAUGGCACUAUUCACCGACAAUUACCUGAUAGAGAAGCUGCGAUUAAUAAACAAAUUAUUUUACGGAUAUGCCAGAUGAAAUGAAACAAGAAGCUAUGGAAACAUGUUCUACUGCCGCGGAAAAAUAUGCCGAGGACUAUGAACAAGCGGCACGCAUGAUUAAAGAAAGUUUGGACAAAAGAUUUGGCACGCCUUUUCAAGUCAUUGUUGGAGAAUCUUACGCUUGUGCUAUAACACAUCAAGAAAAUACUUUGUUAUAUAUGUUCACGGGUGGGAAUAUUGCUAUCCUUGUUUGGAGAACGGUUAGCCAAUAUAAAUAAAAUGAUUUUUUGUUAAA